rnacentral:piRNA from 1 species
UAAAAUUCCUAAACUUUAAAC